GCUUAGGGCCAUACCACCCUGAGAACGCCCGAUCUCGUCUGAUCUCGGAAGCUAAGCAGGGUCGGGCCUGGUUAGUACUUGGAUGGGAGACCGCCUCGGAAUACCAAGUGCUGUAAGCC
ensembl:rRNA 5S_rRNA 5S ribosomal RNA